UGUCAUAUAUAGAAAAGAAAUAUGCCAACAAAGUUUAUUAAAUGGAUAUCGAUGACAAUAAUGGGGGUUGGUAUUAUGAUGUGUUCACUCAUUUAUGUAUAUCUUGAAUAAGCAAUCCGGGACAUAAAGGGGGUCGUAUAUAAAAAUGUGUCAUCCAAUGGUUGUUGAAGGUGUCCCUUUAGUAUUAUAGUCAAAGACCGCACAGACUAUCAUAAUAAUACAUUCGUGUUUUGAAAGUAAGUAGAAAAUGGAAGAGUUUAAAUUGAUGAUAGUUUUGUGGCUAUAGCACCCACUGGAGGCACACAGGAGACAUGAAGGAAAACCGUAUUAUUAACCUGGUUGGAGACAGUUUAUUCUAAGAUACUAUAUUCGAGUACUUGAACGAGCAACGAACUAAAGACUCGACUCGAACUCGAUUAAUGGAAUUUAAUUGCAGUCUUUUGCAAAUUUGUUUCCACAAAUGAAAGAACAUUUAUUACUUUGUUGGAUUUUAUCAAUACAAAUCGCAAUUUAGUGUGAACGUAAUAUUGUAAUUAAAGUGAAGGCUGGAAAUAGCUUUGUUAAUUAUUGCUAUUGUGUGCAGUGAAAAAAAAAUUAAUAAAAUUUACGAUCU